UUUCACAGAAAGUUUGGAUUUAAUUUGUGGCCAAAUUCCUGGUUUAAAACAUUUUUAAAUCUUUCAAAACCAUGCAAUGCAGACUGGAUAUCGUACACAUAGAGAAACAUUUCUUCUAGUACAUGAGUUUGUUCACAGAUGUGUCAGCUUGCAAGACCAGCUAAGCCUUCACUAAAAUACAGACAAAAUUCUAAAUGUAAGGCUCUUCUGCCUCCACAAAUUAAAUGUGUGCUUUUGUGUGUAAGUCUUUUAGGAUGGCAACAAGGCUCGAAACACUCAAGUGUGCUAGGAAAGAGUAUUAAUACAAUAUUCCAAGGCUAGUUGAGCUCAGAUUUCUUUAAAAGAGGAAUAGUUUCUAUGAAGAAAUUGCCAGAUCAAAGAUACAUGGUGAAAUGAUUAAAAUCUUAGAAGUCUGUAAGAACUGCAUCUAAAUUUUCCCCUCCUGUAAAAGGCAAAAAGGCAGCUCCACACCAUUAGUUACUGUGUUGUACAGGGAUGUGCUGUGUUCUGUUACUUGGUGUUUAAUCCAGAAGUGCAUUCAGCUAUGUAUUAGUAGUGAGUGCUGAAUUAUAAGCCAUCAGAGCAGCAAAAGAUAGGACAGAAAUAAACUGUUGGCUGCAAUUGCCCCUUUGAAAAAGAACAGGGAUUCUGAGAGGGCAGGGAAGGAGUUUCCGUGUCCCCAGUGGAGUUUAUUAUUCUCUGGAAACAGGUAAACCAACCCUGGCUCAUGAAGAUACUUUAGAAUAGGAAAUGUUUUGCCUUUGAAAUGUACCAGAUUACAUGUCAUUUCAAAUAGUGUUCAUGGCAAAGAUACCCCUGGGACCACCUUACAAGAGCUUUAUUUCUUGCCUGCAAAUUAGUCAGUUCAAAACAGUUCUCUCAUCUCUGCCUUCAGCUCUUAAUACCACACACGCUGUUUGUAAAAUAGGGGAGUGAAAAGACCCUGAAUACAAUGGUACAAUUAGAAAACUAAAACAAAAACUCUAAAGGCAACAACAGGAUGGGUUUCAGCCGACAAGGAAAAGAAUGAAAUUUCGGUGCCUUUUUGGAGGCAUUUCAAUAAACCCUCUUUUUCCCCUUUCAGCAGGGGCUCACUGAAGCAGCUAUGUUUUCUAAAUGGCAGACAGACAAUAGCAUCUAAAUUAUUUUUAAGAAAGCACUUAUAGCACUAAGCACCCACUACUACUAAAUCCGCCUUAGAGGAGAAGGGUGGAGGAAGAAGAAAGGUCAACAAAUGUAUCAAGUUCUUUGUGUAAUGCCUCACUGACAUUUUCCAGCUCCCUCAGCUGGCUUUUAUUUUUUUAUUUUAUUUUUUCAGAAUCCUGGUAAAAUGCAGUAAAGGAUUUGAGGUUAUUGUCUGUCUCUCUCUAACUUCUGACAUCUCUUUAUAACAAGAAAGAGUCACAGCCAACUGUAACAGGAGGGCAACACAAUGGAUCCUGGUAAGACAGGGAAGGGGGGAGGUUCAACUUUGCUGCCCCUUUGCCCCUAUUUCUUCCUCACAGAACAGAAGUGCCAUCUGUUCCUAGUCCUAACAUGCAUGCAUUUGAUUUCCAUUCAGUAAUAACUAACACAGGAAAAAGAUUAUCAAGUGAUCUAAAGCACUAUCAGCAUUAAGCAAGUCUUCCCCAUCCAGUGUUUUGUUUGCACCUCCAAAGAUUUGCAGAUGAAAUGGAUAUGGGCAAGUGCCUUAAUUGCCUAGAAUUACUCUCUUCUCUGGUAGAGGACCAUAUGGUCAAGGUGUGGAACAUGACCAGAGUAAGGAUAUUUAGGUGCUUUUAGGAAAAUCAAAUGAGAGGAUGGAUGGUUAGAUUCUUCAACCUGAAUUCAGUACACCAAUCUGUAUCAGUUGGUGCUGUAAUGUUUUAUGAAUGCAAAAUCAAGUCACAGCAUAUUGUGUGAGGCUGGACAGUCAGUAUUAAAGUAUGAGCAUGUUUCUAAAGAAUCUGUAAAAAUGCCCCUUAUGCUUCACAGUCAAAUCUGUUGUAUUCACAAAUAAAAAGCCCAACACCACCAAAAUUACCUAACACUUUCCAGUCCAGCAAACUCAGUUUAAGGUUGUGCUGGUUUUGGUUGGGGUACAGUUAAUUUUCUUUGCAGUAGCUGGUAUUGGACUAUGGAUUGCUGGUGAAAACAGUGUUGAUAAUUCAGGGAUGCUUUCCCUAUUGCUGAGCAAUGCUUACAGGGAAUCAAGGCCUUUUCUGCUUCUUACACUGCCCUGUCAGUCAAUAGGCUGCGGGUGCACAAGAGUUUGGGAGGAGACACAGACAGAGCAGUUGGCCUCAAAUGACUGAAGGGAUAUUCCAUACCAUAUGAUGUCUCACUCAGGAUAUAAACUAGGGAGGAAGUUGGCCAGGGGGCACUGCUCAGGAACUGGCUGGGCAUUGGUCGGUUGGUGGUGAGCAAUUGUUUUCAUUUGCAUCAUUUGUCUUUCUUGGGUUUUAUUUCCCUCUCUAUUUUUUUUAACGUUCCUUUUCAUUACAGUAUUACUAUUUUCAUUAUCAUUAUUAUUAUUAAUCCAGUUAUUUUUACUUUUACUAUUAUCUUCCAGUUAUUAAAAUGUUCUUAUCUUAACCCGUGAGUUCUCUCACUUUUUACCUUGCAAUUCUCUUCCCCUCAUCCUGCUGAGGAGGGAGUGAGCAAGAAGCUGUGCAGUGCUCAGUUGCCAGCUGCGGUUGAGCUAUGACAAUCUUUUUGGCACCCAUUGUGGGGCUUGAAGGCUUUGAGGUAAUAACAGAUUGAUCAGAGUGUAUUAUAAGGGAUUUAUAUUUCCUCUGUUAACUGUUGCAGGUCAUGAUAUUGAUUCAUGUGUUCUCAAUAUUAGUUUACUUGAUUUUUUUUUUGUUUUUUUUUGCUGUACCUGUUAAAGAUUGGUGUUGGCUUUUGCAGUUUGCUGUGCUCUGUAGUGAUUAGUGAUGUUUUGCCUGGGAAAUUUGUUACUAAAGCAAUGACCUUGAGCUUGAUCUGGUAUAUGGGUUCUGUUCUGAAGCCAUUACUGUACAUCUUAUGGAGACAAUUAACAAUUGUACUUCUUCCUCUCAGUUUUUUUGUCAAGGAAGUACAAAAUAGCACCUUCACUACCUUCUUCCAUGAUGUUUUCUCUCUUGUUAAAAUAGCUUCUCAAUAUCUUGAACAUCCUCAUAUAGUUGAAAUAGCCAGUUGCUACCAUGGCAGUGCACCAGUGACAGUAUUGCAACAGUCAAGACUUACUGGUUCCCAUCCAUGUGUUGAUCCAUCAACUGGAGAGUCAAGGACUGACUGGUGCUGGCGACACCAUGGGUCCCUCAGUUAUGCCCAGUUUUGACUGAUGUCUUACUGUUGAAAGCAAUUGAGUGCAGCAGCAGAUGUCAGCAAAGGAAAGAUGCCUACAAAGUGCUGUUGCAAAACAUGGUGCAGUAGGUGCAGUGGGAUUUCUCUGUCCCAGCCCUUCAGGAAUUUCAGUGUUCUUUCUUGUUUUCUCUACCUGAUUAUUUUAGCAGUCUCUCAUUUCUCCAUCUUCUUAUCCUUUCCCCCUUUGCUGCUGCUGCCUGCCCACCUUGCUACUUAGGCACUUCUAUGUCCAGAAACUGACCCUGUCAGAUGCCAGCUUUCUUCCCAAGGACUGGGGAAGGACCUCAAGCUUGGGAGAAAUGUGGCCAGAGCUGUAAUGGUGCAAAUAAACUUGUAAAAUGGUUCAAGAGGGCAACGCCAAGCAAAUGGCUAGCAGGUAGCUUGUGCUUUAGACUAGUUUAUUUUGCGCAAGUCAGAUAUUGCAUGCGCUGUAUCUGGAGUCUGAAGCUGAUCUGUCUGGCAAACCUACUGUUGUCUACAUUGUCAAAAUACAUGAGACAACAUUUCAUUUCUCCAAAUUGCCAUUAAUUUCAUUGCCUUAUUUUCUUUCUUUUCCUCCUACACCAGGAUGACACUUUUGAAGUGUACUUUUAAGAGCAUAAUUUGAUCAAAUGAUCCAAGGGAACUCCCUAUAGACAUCCAUGAUUUAAUGCUAGAUCUGUUAUAAAGGUUGGCUUGUCUGACAAUGGCAAUUGGUUUAACUCCAGUUGAUUUGUAGUAAUAAAUAUAGUGAGUUUUUUUCUGUGUCAGGACUGUAAUUUGUUUACACAGCUUAAUCAGGAAUGUAUCAAAUAAAGGCAAGACCCGGCCACGUGUGACGGUGAGCGUUUUGAGCAUCCCAACCUCACGCAGAGCAGAAGGUGCUCGGCACCUUGCUGAAGUCAGCCAUUGUGCAUAUCCUCGUGCGAGAUGCUUGCACGUGAGUUCCAGGUGACCUCAAGGAGACUGCAGGAAUUCACUGGUUGGUUGAUUUAUGGUUCAGUACUCAGUACACAGAUACUCUGUGCUCUGAAAACAAGUAAGGUCAGUAACUGAAUCUGAAUUUCUUUGUCCUCCCUUUCCCUUCUCCAUUUGGGAUUUCGCUUUCCAGCUCACAUCACAUGCACUGGAAGCCAAAGAUAAGCCUCUUUUACUGGGGAAGAAGGAAACUCUUGGUAUUGGGUGCAAAUCUUAGAAGUGGUCUGUGCCUAAUAAGAGCAAGAACACAGCUGCACAAGACUCAGCAUACUUCUCAGACAAAAUGCAGUGAAGGCAAAGAUGACACGUUUAGCUAAAUGAGAGAUCAUUACACAAUACUCUUUCCAUUCAGCCCCUUCUAGGAGGAAGAUAUACAUGCACAGCAGCACUUGGGACAUGAAGAGCUGCUUUAAAAGUAGAUGUGGUUCCUGGUGUUUGAGAUGAGGAUGGAUAGUGGAGAGUGAGAAAAUCGGCUGUCCCUGCAGAGGUGUCCUCCAGCCACAGCAGUGUCUGUGAAGUUGUGCUUUUCUGUACUUGAUGAGAAAGCAGCCUGGGCUGGCUGAGAGCAAGCUCAGUUUGUAGGAAGAGUUUCAGACUGAUACUCAUUGCCUCAGGAGGAAGUUUCCGGGGGCCCAGCACAGCCUGUUAGCAGCAUGAACAGCUUGAGCUACAGCAAGGAGACCCAAGCAGAAGUACACAAUCAUGUCCAUAUUCCCUCCUACUGUGGUGAAGCAGGAAGGCAUGCAAGAGAGGCCUGAAAAUCAUUAGGCAAAAGACUUCUGUGAGCUGCAUGCUGCAGGCACAGGUGUACACACAGAGUCAUAAAUGGAAGCUUGUGCAGGGUUCAUGCUGUACCGGGAGAGAGAACUGUGCUGUGAAAGAAAGCUUUUCUCUCUCAAACAGAUGGAUGUAAAUGAUAUUUGAGGGUGUAAUGCAGAGAGUCGUGUUCUUUACACUCAGCCUCAUGUUGUCAGAGGGUUUUGCUCGCUGCACUGCCCUGUGAAGUACAACAGUAAAGGCCUGAGACAGGAGGGAAAGAAAGUUGUAAGCCAGUGGUAGCACUAGAUUAAAACAGCAGCACACAAACACGCUGACCUCUUCCUGAGCAGUAACCUUGAGUGAGAGCUGGAUUGAUUGAUUUUAUUCUGCUUGUCCAUGAGAAAAUAGAGCACAGCAGCACAGACUGUAACUGGCCAACAGUGCUUGCGAGCUUCAGUGAUCUUUAUCGUGUUUAUUUCAGCUUCCAGGUCCUUAAAGAUAUUUGUGAUGUUAAGAUGUAGUAUUAUACUCAAAGUCUUCUUAUUGGCAAAAGGGUAUUGACAAAAGGCACAUUGUGCCUUUUGUGAUCUAUGAAUUUACUGUUAGUCCGGUUAAUGUUUCAAACAGCCUAAUAGUCAAAAUUACAGACCCUACACCAUCAGUACAAACCUUGUUGCUUUUUAGUAAUAAUGGAAAAAUGAAUACAGGAAGGCCUCAUUAAAAAUAGAGUUAAAAUUGCAACACAGAAAUUUCCCUAUUCUCUAGUGUUGUGCUUACUCUUUCAGUCUUUUGGGUCUUUGAUUGACACUUUGGUAUUUCUCAAAAGGUCUGGGGGAGUAUUAUGAUGAGUCAUCACCACGAAGAGUGCAAUACUCAUGGGAGGGGAUGUCUUUCUCCUCAGUCUGGUGUCUGCUUGGAUUUAGUUUUAUAUCUUUUCUUAACACUAUCAGUUUACUGUGAUUAAAUGACUGAUUCGUGUCAUCUGUGUCUGCACUCUUCCCUGUGACUUAUUCUAGCAGUCCACAAUGAGUAAUCAUUUGUUGUUACUAUAGACUAGAGUUAAACUAAAAAAUCUAGUCAAGAAUGUCUUAGAG